GGGAGCUGUAGGGAGGGAGUCUACACUCAUUCUCUGGACACAGAGAGCAAGGCGCAGCGCAAAAGCCCUGGUAUCUUAGCCCUUCUGGAAGGGUUCACCCAGAGGAGUUGCAGGAAGAAAGCCUGUGGAAUGCAGAGAAGGAAGAAGCUCAGGGAAAGAGCAGUGUAGAGCUUGGCUGCUGAUUACAGGGUGUCUGGGCUAAAACCCAGAGUAGCAGGCAGACCUGGGUUCCCCUACCAACCACUGGGAAAGUGGCAUGGACUUGGAAUUGACAUGGAGGACUGCCUGUGACAGCAUCUGGACAGAUUGUCCAGAGGGACUUUGAUACCUUGGAAAGGGAAAAUGAUAGAGGCCAAGUCAUGAAAGGAGAGUACUCCCAAGUCCUGGAGAGCAAGAGAGGCCCCAGGCAACGUGAGCAACAGAAGAGGGGGCUAGACUGGAUGAGAGCUAAUCCUCAGACCCAGCAGAAAAGGAGGUACCCCAACAGAGAUGGACUAGAUGAUCCCCACAUUCCCUUCUGGCCUUGACUUAAUCUAUGAAAUCACAUUAAGAAGCAUUUAUCGGCAACCUGUGAAUUGACUCUUGGAGUUCACCCACAGCCUCAGUCAACUGUGGACAUGAUGCAGAGCUAGUCUGUUCCGUCCCCUCCCACAUUCAUGGACAGGUUGGGAGUACAGUUUUCCCUAACUUGAGUGCAUAGCCGACUACAGGAACCACUCUUUCUGAUCCUGGUGCAGAAAACUUGACUGGACAGUGGCUCUUCAAGCUUUUGGGUCCUCCUCUUCUCCCACCCAGAGGGCAGCUUCUUAGGUCUUGGGACAACUAGUCUCCAUGCCUUGUCCCUUUCCAAGAGAGUCAUCUUAGGCUGCAAGGAUACCCCAGCCCUUCAUUACUGAAUGACCAAGUGACAAAGAGUGCCUGACCCAGGGAGAGGUAGGUGGGUGAAUGAGUGAAGUGAUUGGGUUGAACAAGUGAGUAAGGAGUGAAUUUAAUUGAUUUGAAGGAGAGAGUUGGGUUUUUUGUUCGUUUGUGUGUUUUUUUUUUUUUUUUUUAACUGAGAUGAAGUAAUGGGAGAACUUGUUAAGGGGGUUUGAGAAGGAGGGAGAGACUAAAUAUGGAGGAAUGAGGGUAAAGAGGAGAAGGGAGAUGGAAAUGGAAGUGCAUGAGAAGAAACACUGAAAAUAGGAGGAAAAGAAGAAGAGCAAAUGAAAAAGAUCAAGGGAGCUGAAUAUUAAAAUUAAGUUGUAUGUUUAAAAUAUAGUACCAUAAGUACAAUCAAUACUGUAAACUGAGCCACAAAAGUAUUUCACAUAAGAGCUUAGAAAAUAAAGAUACAAUCCGUUACUGAUA